UACGGAGGGGGCGAGCGUUAUUCGGAAUUAUUGGGCGUAAAGGGCGCGUAGGCGGCCUUGUAAGUCAAAGGUGAAAUCCCUCGGCUCAACUGAGGAACUGCCUUUGAAACUGCAAGGCUUGAGGCCGGGAGGGGGUAGCGGAAUUCCCAAUGUAGCGGUGAAAUGCGUAGAUAUUGGGAGGAACACCAGUGGCGAAGGCGGCUACCUGGACCGGUUCUGACGCUGAGGCGCGAAAGCGUGGGUAGCAAACAGG
rnacentral:rRNA from 1 species